rnacentral:rRNA from 1 species
UACGAAGGGGGCUAGCGUUGCUCGGAAUCACUGGGCGUAAAGGGUGCGUAGGCGGGUCUUUAAGUCCGGGGUGAAAUCCUGGAGCUCAACUCCAGAACUGCCUUUGAUACUGAAGAUCUUGAGUUCGGGAGAGGUGAGUGGAACUGCGAGUGUAGAGGUGAAAUUCGUAGAUAUUCGCAAGAACACCAGUGGCGAAGGCGGCUCACUGGCCCGAUACUGACGCUGAGGCGCGAAAGCCAGGGGAGCAAACGGG